UAAUAUUGCCACAAGACAGUCAGGAUAUCAUCAUUAUUUUUAAUGAAUAUUCAUAUUGAACUUCCAGCUCACAAAAGAUGCUAUCAUUAUUUCUUGAAAGGUGGUGGGUUUUUAAAUAUAUUAUGACACUUUUUUCCUUUCAAAAGAUGUACUUAUAAAAUAUCUGCAUUAUUCAGUUUUGAUCAGAUCCAUAUGAAUACUAUAUGCAUAAUUCCACUCUAAAAUAUAAGUUUUCCAGUAGUAUAAACAUAUCAUUAUGAAGAGUAAUUAGAUACAGAAAAUAAAACAUAAUCAAUGUUGAGAACUUAUAAAGUGCAGAUAAACAAGUGCUCAUGAUGUUUUUCAACAGAUGGUUAGAAAAAAAUCAGAAUAUCCUUCUAGAUUUUCUCUUCUAGGUUCAGAAUAUACAAUUACAGUUUUUAUAAUUCAAACUGAGAAAAAUGUAGAAUCAAGAAGGCUUCAGCAGAUCAACAAUCAUCCUUUAAAAUAAUUUUGUAAACACAUAAAAGCAUUUUAUUCAAACUAAGACACAGUUCCAAAAAUCCUUUUUUUUCCCUCUCUGUAAUCAUAUAUACUUGUUUAUUUGCUAAAAAUCUAACAGUGGAUUUUUUUUUUUUUUUCCCCCAGUGAAUAACAUAAUAUUAUUGUUUCUUCUUUGGCUUUGAACUACUAUUCAGAAUUGUAGCCGGUGUCAACAGCUCCUCUAAUUUCAGGUCGGAGGUUUCUUAUUCUCUGGUCAUCACUCACAGCUAUAAUUUGAAAAUACUUCCCUGUCCUCCAUUGAGUCCUUUUAGAGCACUUCAGGUAAGUGCAGUAAAGGAAGACAGAGUUAGUACAGUUCAACCAUAAAGAGUUUUUCAUUCUUGUAAUACACUUGGGAUGAGAGAGCAGAAGAUGAUAGUGACCCAAGUAGCAAUCACUAACUAGCAUUAAUUUACAGAAGAAAAAAAUAUAAAAUAAUAAUAAUAAUAAAAAAAGAGAGAGAUCAGUACAGGAGCUUAACCAGAAAGGUAUCUUACGCAGACCUUGGAAGUUGGAAAUCAAUAAAUAACAAGAAAUCCAGUAAACUUGAGAGUAGGAAGAGAGUUGCAGGGAUGGUGGUGAUACAACUAGAUAUAUUGUGAUGAAGGCUGAGCCUUGGGAAAAUCUAAAAUAAUUCCUUCUUUUAUCCAUAGGACUUCAGGUUGAUUCAGUGAUAUCAGAAUGGAUAUAAAAAGCAGAAGGACUAAGAUUCCAUCGGGAACAAUAAAUCUUGUUCUGCAAAAAGAAGCUCGUUAGCCAAGCGGAAUGUGUGAUACUGAUAUACUGAUUCAGAGAGAGAAAGUGUAUGGCAACUGGAGAGAGGAAGAUAUUAUCAGAAAAAAAACACCCAAACAUUUAUCUCUGAUUCUAAGUAUAGAUAUAGAUCCUUAAAUUUAUACUUUAAGAACUGUGACCAAUGUUUCAAAGUGCCUAAACUCUAGAAAUAUUUCGGUGAUCUUCGCUUAGCUCAGUGUUAACUGGUUCAUACCAAAAUUAAAUGCAAGAAAUAAAUAUCUUUGCUGGGUAACUUAUAUUACUUGAGUUUAGUAUUAUCAUAAAAUUACAGAAUCUUCUGAGUUAGAAAGUCAUCUAAUCCAACUCCCUUGAAAUGAAUAUGAACAAGUUGCUCAGAGCCUGGGCCAGCCUGAUCUUGAAUGUCUCCAAGGACAGGGGAUCCAUCCACCACCCCUCUGGGUGAUUUCUUUCAGUGCCUCACCACCUUCAUAGUAAAAAAAAAACUUCUUUGUAUCUAAUGUGAAUUUAUCCUUUUAUAUUUUAAAACCAUUUACAUUUGUCCUAUCGCAACAGACCUUGCUGAAGAGUCUGUCCUCUUCUCCUUAUAGCCCUCCUUUAGAUACUGAAAGGCUACUAUCACAUCUCCCCAGAGCCUUCUCUUUUCCAGGCUGAACAGUCCCAGCUCUUUCAGCCUGUCCUCACAGGGGAGGUAUUCCAUUUCUGCUCAUGCUCUAACAGAUCCAUGCCUCUCCUGUACUUGAGAACUCCACGUCAGGAUGGAGUACUCCAGAUGUGGUCUCACCAAUGCAGAGCAGAGGGGCAGCAUCAUCUACCUUGACCUGCUGACCACCAUUCUUUUGGUACAGUCCAGGACAGGAGUGGCUUUCUGGGCUGUGAGGGUACACACUGCUAGUUCAUGUUCACUUGCUAUUGACUAGUAUCCCUAUGCCCACUGUGGCAGGGCUGUUCUCUGUCCUUACAUCCUUCAACUUGUACUGAUACAAGGGGUUGGUUGCCAUUACCCAUGUGCAGUACCUUGCACUUGGAUUUUUUGAACCUCAUGAGCUUCUCCUUGUCCCACUGACAAAGGCUGUCUAAGUCUCUCUGAGUGGCAUCCCAUCCCUCAGUCAUCUCAACCUUAUCACAUAGCUUGUUGUCAUCCACACACUUGAUGAGAAUGUACUUGAUCCCACUGUCAAUGUCACUGCUGAAGAUAUUAAAGAGCAUUGACCCCUGAGGAGCACCACUUGUUACUUUCUCUAGCCAGACAUUGAGGCAAUGACCACCACUCUCAAGGUAUGACUGGACUAAACUUUGUUCAUCAGUCCACCUUUCAAAUCCACACAUUUUGAAUUUGAAAAGAAAGAUACGAUGGGGACUACGUCCAAGUCUCUACUAACAUUAAGAUAGAUGACAUCAAGCAUUUUCCUCAUCCGCUGAUGUAGUUAUGCCAUCAUGAAAUCCACUAAUUAGCUUUUCAAAAUUAGUUCUUAUUUGUAACACUAAACAUUAUAAAUUGCAUUUUCUUUACAUAGCAGUAUCUAAUAGCUUUUCCCUGAAAUGAGCUUGUUGCUGAAGAAACACAAAUUGGAUUCGCUACUUUUGAACAUUUUAUAGUUUUUCUUUGUCAAAUCCUAACCAUUUUAAAUGCAUAGGUUUUCUUCAGUUUUGUUUAUUUUGCGGGGUAAUUUGAUAAAUUAAUGCAUAUUUUGUAAAGCAAACAAGUGUCUGGCAGUUAGUACAUAGCAUGAUAACAGAAUUGCUCUUUGAUUUGCAUAGUAGUGUUCCUGUUAAAAAUUCUGCUUGCCAGUCUUUGAGAUUAAAUUCUUUUAUAUAGAAUGAGUGUGUUAAGUCAAAUGAUGUGAAUCUGCCUAAACCACUUUCUUCUUGUAUCAAGCAGUCUCAGAAUUCUAUAAUAAUCCUUCCUUCCUAAAACUCUGGAAUUGUUUUUUAGACACAGUCUUUGUUUGUGUGUUUGUUACAAUAUCAAUAUGUCUUAUGUACUUUGAUACAUUCAAUAAAGUGCACUAGCACAGCAAAAUAUCAUGGCUCAGUAUUAACUGAUUCAUAGCAAGCAAAGAAAUAUAUUUCCAAGAAUAAAUCAGAAUUGUAAUUUUUUUUUUUUAAAUUGUCAGCAAUACCUGUAGACAGUAUCUUCUAGAACUAACAGUGCAAAGGCAGAUAAACAUAUGCAAUAAUAACACCAAAAACAAGACCACUACUGUAUUGUAAUUAAUAAGUCAUUCUCUUCUAGGAGGCAGUUCUUUUGUUUAUUACAUAAUCCUAGAAUGCAAUGAAAUAGCAAGUAUCAACUAGUAACAGUGUUACACUAUCUCCAGCUCUAACAUUAGACUCCUUAUCUGGUUUGGACUAAUGGGCUUAGAGCAGGUCAGAAAAAGACUCGUGUAAAUACUAGGGACAGAGAACCUUCUAAAAAGUAAGCAGCUGAUCAGCAGUAUUUAACCUGUAGGAAAAAAAAAAAAAUACUGUGCUUUGACUAAUUAUAGAAAUAUUUAUAAGGCCCCAUCCAUACAGAAUUCAGAGAUUUACAGUGCUUUCCUUCACACACACAACAGUCUGGCUGAAGUUUUGGCCCUGAAAGCAUUGCCCCAGCAAUCUUUACAUUAAGAUCUGCAGCAGUGAACUAUGGCAUCAAGUUAAUUACAGGUAACAGAAUUUAUUGUGCUAUCGUGUACCAAUAAAAAAUCUCAGUUGUCAUAUUCUUCCAGAUAAAGAUUUUUCGCAUGCUUUGAACCAUUAGGACAAGGUGAUCCAGUGGUCCUGAGGACAAUAACAGCAUGCAUUACUGAAGGAUAUUUAAAAAGGUGUAUGUCAUUAAAACUUGCUUACAAUGUGCAAUUGAACUUCACUGCUAUUUUCUACUCGGAACUUCACAGUCUAAUGAAAAGCUAACUACCAAAUGGGAUUAUUAUGUUUCUAACAUUUCUAAUGAAUAAACAGCUUUCUUUCAAACAACCAACACAGA